rnacentral:rRNA from 1 species
AACGAACGCUGGCGGCAGGCCUAACACAUGCAAGUCGAGCGCCGUAGCAAUACGGAGCGGCAGACGGGUGAGUAACACGUGGGAACGUGCCCAAAGGUACGGAACAACUCCGGGAAACUGGAGCUAAUACCGUAUGUGCCCGAGAGGGGAAAGAUUUAUCGCCUUUGGAUCGGCCCGCGUCUGAUUAGCUAGUUGGUGAGGAAACGGCUCACCAAGGCGACGAUCAGUAGCUGGUCUGAGAGGAUGGCCAGCCACACUGGGACUGAGACACGGCCCAGACUCCUACGGGAGGCAGCAGUGGGGAAUAUUGGACAAUGGGCGCAAGCCUGAUCCAGCCAUGCCGCGUGAGUGAUGAAGGCCUUAGGGUUGUAAAGCUCUUUCGCCAGGGUCGAUAAUGACGGUACCUGGAUAAGAAGCCCCGGCUAACUUCGUGCCAGCCGCCGCGGUAAUAC